UCACACUGGUAGGAACGACAUUGCCUGUUAGUUGUUAUGAGAAGUAUGUUGGGAGAUUGCCACCUUCCUGAAAAUCACUGGACAAAGAAGCGAUGUGAUGGAAAACCAGAGUGCCAAAAGAAGGUGGAUUUGGCAGUUGCUGCUCCAUGAGACGAGUUUAUUUGCCUGCUCAAAAUUCAGACCUGGAAAGGAUGAAACCAGAUGGAACGCAAAAGCUACAUGGCAGAGCACAUUUUGGGCACUGGUUCAUUUGGCGCCGUCUUUCAGGCUAAAUGCUUGGAAACUGGGGAGACGGUAGCCAUUAAGAAGGUACUGUCGGGAGCUGCAGCUUAUGCGUUCGAUUAACCAUUCCAAUGUUGUCUUCCUCAAGCACUGCUUCUUCUCAACCACAAGUGGAGUGAGCUGUUUCUGAACCUUGUCACGGAGUAUGUCCCCGAGACGCUCUACCGCGGGCUUAAGAACUACAGUAAUGCCAAACAGGGGAUGUCACUUAUCUACGUCAAGCUUUACACCUAUCAGGUGGGCAGGGCCUUU